GACGAACCGUGCGAACGUUGUUCGGAAUUACUGGGCGUAAAGCGCGUGUAGGCGGCUUGGCAAGUCGGGUGUGAAAGCCCCGGGCUCAACCUGGGAAGUGCACUCGAAACUGCUUGGCUUGAGUACUGGAGAGGGAAGCGGAAUUCUCGGUGUAGAGGUGAAAUUCGUAGAUAUCGAGAGGAACACCGGUGGCGAAGGCGGCUUCCUGGACAGUUACUGACGCUGAGACGCGAAAGCGUGGGGAUCAAACAGG
rnacentral:rRNA from 1 species